rnacentral:rRNA from 1 species
CCUACGGGUGGCUGCAGUGAGGAAUAUUGGUCAAUGGGCUUACGCCUGAACCAGCCAAGUCGCGUGAGGGAAGACUGCCCUAUGGGUUGUAAACCUCUUUUGUCAGGGAGCAACGCCGGCUACGUGUAGCCGGACUGAGAGUACCUGAAGAAAAAGCAUCGGCUAACUCCGUGCCAGCAGCCGCGGUAAUACGGAGGAUGCGAGCGUUAUCCGGAUUUAUUGGGUUUAAAGGGUGCGUAGGCGGGAAGCCAAGUCAGCUGUGAAAACUACGGGCUUAACUUGUAGACUGCAGUUGAAACUGGUUUUCUUGAGUGAAGUAGAGGUUGGCGGAAUUCCGAGUGUAGCGGUGAAAUGCGUAGAUAUUCGGAGGAACACCGGUGGCGAAGGCGGCCAACUGGGCUUUAACUGACGCUGAGGCUCGAAAGUGUGGGGAGCAAACAGGAUUAGAUACCCCUGUAGUC